AUUGAACGCUGGCGGCAUGCCUUACACAUGCAAGUCGAACGGCAGCACGGGAGCAAUCCUGGUGGCGAGUGGCGAACGGGUGAGUAAUAUAUCGGAACGUGCCCAGUGAUGGGGGAUAGCCCGGCGAAAGCCGGAUUAAUACCGCAUACGACCUACGGGUGAAAGCAGGGGAUCGCAAGACCUUGCGUCAUUGGAGCGGCCGAUAUCAGAUUAGCUUGUGGUGGGGUAAAAGCCUACCAAGGCGACGAUCUGUAGCUGGUCUGAGAGGACGACCAGCCACACUGGGACUGAGACACGGCCCAGACUCCUACGGGAGGCAGCAGUGGGGAAUUUUGGACAAUGGGCGCAAGCCUGAUCCAGCCAUGCCGCGUGCGGGAAGAAGGCC
rnacentral:rRNA from 1 species